UGAGACUUGCCAUCAUUCAGGUCAACUCCUU
rnacentral:piRNA from 1 species